AAAACAAUUCCGCUGUUAUCCCCGGAGUAACUUGUUCUAUUAAUCUUAUAAAAGGAUCAAAAAAAGUUUUUAUAGAAACAUUGUUGUUUUGAAGUUAAAUAUUUCAAAAGCCGCCCCAGCCAAACUUUCAAUUUCUCUAUUGUGGAAAUAAAAGUAAAGAUUCAAGGGGUCUUCUCGUCCUUUUAUAAAAUUUCAUCUUUUUCAAUGAAAAAUUAAAUUCAAACAUUUAAAAUGGAGACAGUAAUAUUCUCAUUAACCCUUUCAUACAAUUUUACAAUUAAUAAACUAAUUAUUAUCUACCUUUGCAA
rnacentral:rRNA from 1 species